rnacentral:rRNA from 1 species
CCCAUUUUCUUUAUACCCUAGUAUUCAUUUGGCUAUGUUUGAUUGGUUUUAGGUUGGGGUGACCACGGAGCAUAAAAUAACCUCCACGAAGAAGAGACUAAUAAUCUUUAUCAAAGAAGUACACUUCUAAGAAUUAACAAAUUAAUUUCCAAUGAUCCGAUAUUCGAUCAACGAACCAAGUUACCCUGGGGAUAACAGCGCAAUCCACCUCAAGAGCUCCUAUCGACAGGUGGGUUUACGACCUCGAUGUUGGAUCAGGAUAUCCCAGUGGUGUAGCAGCUACUAAAGGUUCGUUUGUUCAACGAUUAA